ensembl:lncRNA
GCAUAAUUCUCCAUAAAUAUGUCUGAUCAAUUUUAAUGAGCGGGAGCGUUGGUGUCAGGUUUAUUAAGGGGUCACCCAGCAGCGGGCUUGAUUUUGGGGUUAAUCAUAGUCUUCCAUAGCACUUUGAGGCAACAUUUUUGUUGAUUAAGUCAUUUGGUUUUUAGAAAAAUGUCUUAAAUUGCAACUUAAUCUUUUUUUAAGUUGAUGUUUAUAAACUGGCUUGCGAUGCUUUAACUAUAUAUAUAUGAAUAUAUAAAAUAUAUUUGCAGAUGUGAUAUACCUUUAAAUUUAAACUCAAUUUGAGUCAAUGGUGUAAGUUUAAUUUAUUUUUAUACUCUUCUAUAUAGAAAAUAUACAGAUUGUCCCACAUAUCUGUACACAGGCACAUGAACAUGAGUCACAUAAAAUCUGGCAAAAAAAUUUGUCAGGAUGUCAGGGACUGAAACAUGUAUGACUUGUUAUGGACGUCUUAUAUUGCAAGUAGUCUUAGCGUAUUCUGCUGUCAUGACCUUAAUGUAGACCUUGUGUAGUUGAUCCCCGUGGGACACAAAUAAAUACAGUAAAUGUGUCUUUAUUAUUGCUGGGGCAGCUUUAGCGGCAUGAAGAUGGCCCAUGUUGGCCUUUUUUUUACGUUCCGUGGGAACAGAUGUUGUCAGCCAUUUUUUGUUAAAGCUGAAGGUGAAAACAGCCUGGGUUCAAGAUCCAAUCACAAAAUAUUCUUAAGAGUUUGUUUAAGCAGGUGAGGUUUCUCUUAGUUAGGCGUGAGUCACAAACACAAGAAUACACAGAGUUUGUCACUUUAAAUUCUUCCCCUCCCUCCUGCAGUGCCAUGUCAGUACUAGUUCAGAACUAGUUUUGCAUUAUAUACUGUUGCGCGGCAGAAAAAGAGGAAAUCACAGCCGACAGGAUCUGCGGGCUACAUCUGCAAAUCAUCCGUGAAUUUCUUGCUGUGGAGCCUCCCGUUGCCACUGACAGCUAUUUCGUUGUGGCGAGGCAGUGCCUGAUUUUUGGCUCCAGUACCAGUCCCAUUUUAUUAUGAGAGAAACAUGAAAAAGCUUUCUGCAUCAAGCGCUAGCACCACAUCAGUGGAAAAGUGCUACUUCUAACUCUCGCAUCAAAGCACAGCAGUGUGGAAAUAUACAUUUAAAUGUCAGUGAUGCCUCAGUCGCAGCCACUGUGUUGGUAAAGAGAAUUUGCACAUGCAUAUGCAUACCCAGUGUGUUUGUCAGGACUCCAUUUACAUCUGCAAUUAAAAUAAUCACAGCUGUUUGGUUUGCAACUGCAGUCUAAGCCAGAUACAUGGAUUAAUUAUAAAACUCUUUUCAUACAAAUGAUUUGAUCUCAUAUAGAUAUUAGGAAAGAUAUUUAAGGUUAAAUUAAAUAUAAUUUAAUAUGCACUGCUCAAAAAAAUUAAAGUAAGACUGAAAACACAUCAGAUAUCAACGGCAAAAAAGUUAUGCUGGAUGUUUACACUGAUAUGGACUCCAUAAUGUGUUAGGAAUGAAAGGAUGCCACAUCAUUUGAGGGAAAUUAAAAAUAGUACUCAGGACCCAGUGCACCAGCGUAGGGUCUGACAGUGGGUCCAAGGGAUUUCACGCUGAUACCUGAUGGCAGUCAGGGUGUUGUUGCCUGACCUGUAGAAGUCAGUGCGUCCCUCAGAUCAUCACUGAUACAACACCAAACUGAUGAUGCUAAACAGUGUUACAGACACCAUGGACCUGCCAGUUCUGGCAUUCUAUGGCAAAUGCCAUUUGGGCUCCAAAGUGUUGGGCAGUGAGAAUAGGCGAGCAGAUACGGGUCCUGUUCAUGGGUUAAGGACCUUCAAGACCAUGUCCGACUCUCCUAGAGUAACUUCUGGACUCCUGAGCCAGUGAUGGGAGACACAGCAAACCUUCUGGCAGUAGCACAUAUUGAUGCACAACCUCAGAGGAGCUGGACUACCUGUGCAACCUCUGCAGGUUAAUGUAACCCCUAAUGGAAAAGUAGUGAAAAAAAACUGUCAGAAAAGAUGAUGAGGGAAAAUGUUUAUCUGUAAAAGUAUUGCUUUUUUGUCUCAUUAUUGCCCCUCUAGUGCCGCUGUUAUUAAUUUCAUUGACACCAAAAAGGUGAAACGUGGUUAAAAAUAACGACCGCUGCUGCAUAACUGAUCGGAUCAAUAUCCCAGAAGUUUAUCUGACUUGAUUCUGUACUCUGAAAAGUGUUCCUUUAACUUUUUUUGAGCAGUAUAUUUAAGACAGAUUACUGACCGGCUUCAUAAUUCAGUCUCAAUGAAACUUCUACUCAAAUUUUUUUCUUGAAAAAUCUUAAUAAAUAUCGCCACACAUUACUAAAAUUGCAUAUGCAUCCAUGGACUACCCAAAGUUUCAUCUACAUAUAGCAUACACCAUGAGCCUAUUUCAGCUGGCCACAUCCCUGCUGCAGUGUGGCAAUGCUGAAGACACAAAGUGGUGUGAGCUGUUUAUCCCAAACUUAUGAAUAUAUUUUAAUAUCUUUUGUUAUUCUGUUAAAGUCCACUUUCACUAGAUGAGUAGUGGAGCCUGUGUUGUCUGUGAGCUAGCGUCUCCAUUUUUCAAAAAGGACACUUUUGUGGCUCUUGCUUCUCAGGCACGAAUUUUCUUGAAUGCAGCUGUUGUUAACCUUCAAAGAGAGCUCUUCUUCGCCCAGGAGCAACAAACAAAAGAUUUAAAAUCUAUCCAAGGUCACAACAAUCACUGUAAUCGCUUUUUUUAAAAAGGGUUAAGGCAUUAAAAUACCACUGGGUUGUGUGCAUACAACAGGAUGCCAACAGAAACUGCUGGAUUACUUUAAAACAAGGUUUCAUUAUGCAUGUGAAUCAGCCUGCUGAAAACUGCUCCUGUGUAAAACAAGCUGUCAUUGUGUAGCUUUUAGCUACAGUAAGCUCUUAAAACCCAAAGAAUGGCAGAUGCUACAACUCGCUUGUGAUCACUGUGGAGCAUUUAGCAGCUAAAGUGCUCGGACUUUUCAUUCAUCAGGUGGACAGGAUCAUGACUCUAAAUGAAUCGUGAGCGAAUCACUGUCCUUAAGACCAAAUAAGCCAGUUGUUGCAGAUUUAAGUAUUAAUAUCUGUUUAAAUACUUUAAACCUGUAUAUUUGUUUUCAGGCUGUUUUAGCCACAGCUCUGUGUUUGUGGUAUGGUAUAUGGUAAACAAACUAUUAAGAGUAUUUCUGAGUGAUUUUUGACCCAGGCGCUGAAAACAUUCACAUUUUUGGCCUACGUCAACUUUUCUCCUUCGCACAUUUGUGACACCCUUUAUACAAUGGGACAGCAAAAGAGAAUGCUACCGAUCUAUCAGGGAACUUUUCCAUGUGAAGUGAAAUUUCGUUCACUAGAGAAAUCCAAAUGUUCGCUUCUUCAGCUUUUUCCUUUUCCACGUGUCGGUCUUGUAGUGUGAACGACGCCCGGCCCUUUAGACUUUUCAGGUGUGUACAGAUCUAUGUGGGAAUGAUGUAUAAAUCAAGGUUUUGGUAUUUGUCCGGUUAAACAAGAAGGAGGUGGUUUUUAUGCAAUUUACUAUUUUUAAAACCUAAUACAUGAUUUACGUGUAGCAAGAAGAAGGUUGAUUGUUUUUGGUUCAAAAUGACAAUGGAUGUUUUCUUUAUGGGGCGCCUACCUCUGCGUUUCUAAACAGAGAGGUUGCAAUCCAAGGAUGUUCACAUGCUAUGUAUAAAAAAAACAUAUAUUUUUGAUGUCUUUUUUUUCAAUGAUUGUCUCUAAAAAGAACUAUUAUGUAACAUUUGCUGUAUUGCUCUUCAUCCCAUGCUAUUCCAUUAGAGGUUAGAGGUGGGAUCGGGGAUGAAGUUACUUUGUCCUAACGUAUGAAGUAUAUAUGAAGUUGUACUCUCGUAGUGUCUACUGCAAACUGUACUUCUCUAUCUAAGUGAUACUUUACCAUUUUUCUGUGGCUAUGCUGUACGUUUGUAUCCGUCCGUGUGAGCAUGUGUGAAAGUGGGAGUCUCGUAGACAAAGCUUAGGUUCAUGUCCUUUAAAGAUGCCGUAACGUUUCUUAGAGGUGCAUGUUAACCAAACAGUGAGCAAGCGUAUUGAUAGUGCAGAGUUUUUCUUGUUUUUUGCAUAUGAAAACAUGUUAGCUUCUCUAGAAACCCCACCCUGGUUUUCUGGUGGUUAGCACUGUGGUUCUGAAAGUUAUUCCUAUUAGUUAGGGAUUUUCCCUUUUUAUCUUUUAUCCCCCCCCCCCCCCUCCCUCUGUAUUGGCUUUGAUUUACACAAAUGAGGAAACGAUAGCGUUUUGCUGCUUUCCCCACUCUUUCCACGACAUGUAAAACAUCUGAAGUUUUUCAAUUUAAGUGCCCAUUUUAAAUGACCUUUCCAAGUCACUGUUUUUGUUGUUUAAUCUUAGGCAGCGUCUGCAUAUUGUUAUGGUUCACGUGGACAAACUGAGAUAAACUAAAAGCAAGAUAUACAGAGACAUUGAUUUAACUAUAAAGGGCUUCUUAAUCUAUUGGUCUUUAUUGAAUUGUGAUGACCUUGUUGCAUGUUUGUGUGUUUUGUUGUGGAAAAAUAAAUGUGCCCUUGACAGGGGUAGUGUGUUUGA